rnacentral:rRNA from 1 species
AUUGAACGCUGGCGGCAUGCCUUACACAUGCAAGUCGAACGGCAGCGGGGGAGAAGCUUGCUUUUCCUGCCGGCGAGUGGCGAACGGGUGAGUAAUACAUCGGAACGUGCCCUGUAGUGGGGGAUAACUAGCCGAAAGAUUAGCUAAUACCGCAUACGACCUGAGGGUGAAAGUGGGGGACCGCAAGGCCUCAUGCUAUAGGAGCGGCCGAUGUCUGAUUAGCUAGUUGGUGGGGUAAAGGCCUACCAAGGCGACGAUCAGUAGCUGGUCUGAGAGGACGAUCAGCCACACUGGGACUGAGACACGGCCCAGACUCCUACGGGAGGCAGCAGUGGGGAAUUUUGGACAAUGGGCGAAAGCCUGAUCCAGCAAUGCCGCGUGUGUGAAGAAGGCCUUCGGGUUGUAAAGCACUUUUGUCCGGAAAGAAAUGGCUCUGGUUAAUACCUGGGGUCGAUGACGGUACCGGAAGAAUAAGGACCGGCUAACUACGUGCCAGCCGCCGCCGUAAGAC